GAGGUAAUCGGGUGUAAUUGCCGACUCUCGCGCCCCGACACGCGUGGGGACGGCGUCCCUCUUCUCCGGGCCUUGACUGGUGUGGGAAAGGCUUGUGUUACUACUUUUCAAUGCGCUUUCGGAGAAGUUGCUCCGAGUGUUUUUAUUCUUGGUAAGGAGGAAAGUUCUCGAUGAAAAAGAGAGCUGAGAGGCAGAGCUCAGUCUGCGGAGACUGGCUUUCAAAGGCACUUUCUCGAACCUGUUGGAGGCUUCCGGCAGUCAGGAGGGAGCUCAUGAUCAUUGGUCCCUUGAUUUCCAAGAACGUUCUUGGAGGUGGCCUUUUGUUUAUGUGCCCGGGUUCUCCCGAGGGAAGAGCCGCGGGGAGUGUGGUCAUCAGUACUCUCGAGCUGCUUAUCCUUGGGCCUUGGAGUGCUGGGAGAGAGGUUACAGGGUUCGGUUCAGCCAUUCCUUCGCUAUUCCAAUUCCGGAGCUCCUUUCCCAACAAUCGGGAAAUGUUUCUCACAGAACCAAGUUAGAGAAAGAAA
rnacentral:lncRNA from 1 species